rnacentral:pre_miRNA from 1 species
CUCUGCUUUCAGCUUCUUUACAGUGUUGCCUUGUGGCAUGGAGUUCAAGCAGCAUUGUACAGGGCUAUCAAAGCAAAG